rnacentral:ncRNA from 13 species
UUCCUCGUGGCCCAAUGGUCACGGCGUCUGGCUACGAACCAGAAGAUUCCAGGUUCAAGUCCUGGCGGGGAAG